UACGUAGGGGGCAAGCGUUGUCCGGAUUUAUUGGGCGUAAAGAGCGUGUAGGCGGCCAUGUAGGUCCGUUGUGAAAACUCGAGGCUCAACCUCGAGACGCCGAUGGAAACCAUGUGGCUAGAGUCCGGAAGAGGGGAGUGGAAUUCCUGGUGUAGCGGUGAAAUGCGCAGAUAUCAGGAAGAACACCCGUGGCUAAGGCGGCUCUCUAGUACGGUACUGACGCUGAGACGCGAAAGCGUGGGGAGCGAACAGG
rnacentral:rRNA from 1 species